rnacentral:rRNA from 1 species
GUGGGGAAUAUUGGACAAUGGGCGAAAGCCUGAUCCAGCCAUGCCGCGUGUGUGAAGAAGGUCUUCGGAUUGUAAAGCACUUUAAGUUGGGAGGAAGGGCAGUAAGUUAAUACCUUGCUGUUUUGACGUUACCGACAGAAUAAGCACCGGCUAACUUCGUGCCAGCAGCCGCGGUAAUACGAAGGGUGCAAGCGUUAAUCGGAAUUACUGGGCGUAAAGCGCGCGUAGGUGGUUUUGUAAGUUGGAGGUGAAAUCCCCGGGCUCAACCUGGGAACUGCCUCCAAAACUGCAUGACUAGAGUACGGUAGAGGGUAGUGGAAUUUCCUGUGUAGCGGUGAAAUGCGUAGAUAUAGGAAGGAACACCAGUGGCGAAGGCGACUACCUGGACUGAUACUGACACUGAGGUGCGAAAGCGGGGGGAGCAAACAGGAUUAGAAACCCGUGUAGUCC